AUGCUGAAAGUAUCUUAGUACAAUUACCUUCCAAGUAAAAAGUCCGCAAAGGUCAGCAUA
rnacentral:tRNA from 1 species